rnacentral:rRNA from 1 species
CGUGAGAUGUUGGGUUAAGUCCCGCAACGAGCGCAACCCUUACUGUUAGUUGCUACGCAAGAGCACUCUAGCAGGACUGCCGUUGACAAAACGGAGGAAGGUGGGGAUGACGUCAAAUCAUCAUGCCCCUUAUGACCUGGGCCUCACACGUACUACAAUGGCUGUCAACAGAGGGAUGCAAAGCCGCGAGGUGGAGCGAACCCCUAAAAGCAGUCUUAGUUCGGAUUGUAGGCUGCAACCCGCCUACAUGAAGUCGGAUC